rnacentral:lncRNA from 1 species
UGGACUCGUGGGGCGCUGCUCGGCAGCGGCAGUCUCCAAUCCCGCCUGGGGUGGGGGCAUGGCUUGGGGAGCGCUGCGCGGGUCUGGAGAGAGUAGAGAAAUCGCCAAAACAGAGUGACGGUGACUUGAUGAGGCUGAAGAAAGCUCAGUCUCAAUUGUGUUUCCUGCCUGUCAGCCUCUUGCCUCCUAAACGCGUACCAUUUCCACUUGAUGUCAUCAUGCAGAAGGGGGUGAAAGAGACUCGGUGACAGAUUCAGAAAUGAACACACCUGUGAGUACUGGAUGCCUGUGAGCUCGCCAUCACCCGCACUGCAAAGACACAGGGCGGCAGCCUCUGAGAAGCAGCUCCUUCCCCUUCACCUUGGCCUUGCC